rnacentral:rRNA from 1 species
GACGAACGCUGGCGGCGUGCUUAACACAUGCAAGUCGAGCGGUAAGGCCCUUUCGGGGGUACGACGAGCGGCGAACGGGUGAGUAACACGUGGGUGACCUGCCCUCAGCUCUGGGAUAAGACCCGGGAAACUGGGUCUAAUACCGGAUAUGACUUCAUGACGCAUGUUGUGGAGUGGAAAGCCUUGUGCGGCUGAGGAUGGGCCCGCGGCCUAUCAGCUUGUUGGUGGGGUGAGGCCUACCAAGGCGACGACGGGUAGCCGGCCUGA